GCCCGCCUAGCUCAAUCGGAUAGAGCGUCAGACUUUUAGGGCAUCUGAAGGCUGCGAGUUCGAUCCUCGCGGUGGGCU
rfam:Coprinopsis cinerea okayama7#130 chromosome 12 cont3.12, whole genome shotgun sequence.